GCAAACUCGUACGGCACGUAACAGAAAAAAACAUUUCUCUAGUCGUUUGUAAGUUUGGUACCUAGCGAGACCCAUAAACAUCCACUCAGAGGAAAGUGCAGGUGCUAAACAGAACUUUUAUUAAUCAGAGAACACAAAUAAUCCAAAAUCGGAAUAUACCAUUCGGGGCUGGUGCAGAUCGAUGACAACCAGUCUGUAAAAUGACACUGAUAUCGUUAAAAGAAAUAUUAAAAGUGACACUACAGGAUUCUAUAAAAAAAGACGGAUGUUGGACACCCCAGUCUGCUGGAUCAACAGCCAGACUACUUUCAGGCCCUGAGCUCCAUGCAUUAAAUGCCUUCCCUGGAAGGAGGUUUCUUUCAGCUCCAAGGAUGAAAUCAUUGGAAUGACCCUACUGAGACCUUCCAACCAUCUAAUGGUGGGACCAGCCUCAGACCAUUCUGCACCUCACCCUUCCUGACAGCUCGCAGAAAACCUCAUGCCCCCAUCUCCACACCAACUGAAAGGCUAUUCUGAACACCUGUCU